CGCGGUAAUACAGAGGUCCCAAGCGUUGUUCGGAUUCACUGGGCGUAAAGGGUGCGUAGGCGGUCGGGUAAGUCUGAUGUGAAAGCUCGGAGCUUAACUCCGAAAUGGCAUUGGAUACUAUUCGGCUUGAGGAAUGGAGGGGAGACUGGAAUGCUCGGUGUAGCAGUGAAAUGCGUAGAUAUCGAGCGGAACACCAGUGGCGAAGGCGAGUCUCUGGACAUUUCCUGACGCUGAGGCACGAAAGCCAGGGGAGCAAACGGGAUUAGAUACCCCGGUAGUCCUGGCCCUAAACGGUGCACGUUUGCUGUAAGAGGAAUCGACCCCUUUUGUGGCGAAACUAACGCGUUAAACGUGCCGCCUGGGAAGUACGGCCGCAAGGUUAAAACUCAAAGAAAUUGACGGGGGCCUGCACAAGCGGUGGAGUAUGUGGCUUAAUUCGAUGCAACGCGAAGAACCUUACCUGGCCUUGACAUGCAAGUAGUAGAAGGAUGAAAGUCUGACGAGGUAGCAAUACCAGCUUGCACAGGUGCUGCAUGGCUGUCGU
rnacentral:rRNA from 1 species